UCGCGGCUUAUCACCGGCAGUCUCCCUAGAGUGCUCAACUAAAUGGUAGCAACUAAGGACGGGGGUUGCGCUCGUUGCGGGACUUAACCCAACAUCUCACGACACGAGCUGACGACAGCCAUGCAGCACCUGUGUCCAGGUUCCCUUUCGGGCACACCCCCAUCUCUGGGGGCUUCCCGGCAUGUCAAGGGUAGGUAAGGUUUUUCGCGUUGCAUCGAAUUAAUCCACAUAAUCCACCGCUUGUGCGGGUCCCCGUCAAUUCCUUUGAGUUUUAAUCUUGCGACCGUACUCCCCAGGCGGGAUGCUUAAUACGUUAGCUGCGCCACCGAAGAGCAAGCUCCCCGACGGCUAGCAUCCAUCGUUUACGGCGUGGACUAC
rnacentral:misc_RNA from 1 species